rnacentral:rRNA from 1 species
CAGCCGCCGCGGUAAUACGAAGGGGGCGAGCGUUGCUCGGAAUGACUGGGCGUAAAGGGCGCGUAGGUGGCGUGCACAGUCAGAUGUGAAAUUCCUGGGCUCAACCUGGGGGCUGCAUUUGAUACGUGCGUGCUAGAGUGUGGAAGAGGGUCGUGGAAUUCCCAGUGUAGAGGUGAAAUUCGUAGGUAUUGUGAAGAACACCGGUGGCGAAGGCGGCGACCUGGUCCAUUACUGACGCUGAGGCGCGAAAGCGUGGGGAGCAAACAGGAUUAGAUACCCCUGUAGUCCCUGUCUCUUAUAC